rnacentral:rRNA from 1 species
UACGAAGGGGGCUAGCGUUGCUCGGAAUGACUGGGCGUAAAGGGCGCGUAGGCGGUUUGUACAGUCAGAUGUGAAAUUCCCGGGCUCAACCUGGGGGCUGCAUUUGAUACGUAUGGACUUGAGUUCGGAAGAGGGUCGUGGAAUUCCCAGUGUAGAGGUGAAAUUCGUAGAUAUUCGCAAGAACACCAGUGGCGAAGGCGGCUCACUGGCCCGAUACUGACGCUGAGGCACGAAAGCGUGGGGAGCAAACAGGG